AAGCUGCCGCGCGACCUAGAAACAAACCCGGAACGACGCUGCCAGCGUCGCGCGAGACGGUCGAGCUGAAUUAGGAGAAGUGCCAGGACCGACGCCGACCUACUCGUUGAAAUGACUGCGGUUCAGGCGAAGGACUCGCUGGCACCUCCGUCAGGGAAACCUUCCCUGGUUUAAAAGGGCCCGACUCACUUCCGAAUAUCUCCUGAUGUAUGUAUCCUCCAUGUAUCGGAUCAGACAUUCUGAGGCCUUCACCAUACCAUAUUAUUUGUUCUUGAGCAGGGAUAUUGUCACGGCAGAAUCACAUGAUGUAUCGGGACUUUUUCCCCCUUCCUAAUCCAGGCAUGGCUGUGCCAGUGCAUGACACAUCUGGCCCACAGGCCAGGAGUUCAACAGCCGUGUUCUUGAGAAACCUCAAAGGGCAAAGGUUUAAGGGUGGCCUUUGGACUGUGGAAGCCGAUACAGCAGAACCACCCACAGAUCUGGAAUAAGAAGAAAUCUGGAA